rnacentral:rRNA from 1 species
UAGGUCGACCCGCUGAAUUUAAGCAUAUCACUAAGCGGAGGAAAAGAAACUAACCAGGAUUCCCCUAGUAACGGCGAGUGAAGAGGGAAAAGCCCAGCACCGAAGCCUGUGGCAAUUUUGCUGCUAGGCAAUGUGGUGUUUAGGUCGGCUCGUGGGAUCGCCACUCCACUCGAAGUCCAGCAUUGAGUAUGGUUCCCAGGAAUUGGCCCAUAGAGGGUGAAAGGCCCGUACGAGUGGAAGUGUCAGAUAUGUAAGGCGAUUCACCAGGCCGGCCUUAGAGUCGGGUUGUUUGCGAAUGCAGCCCAAAGUGGGUGGUAAACUCCAUCCAAGGCUAAAUACUAGCACGAGUCCGAUAGCGAACAAGUACCGUGAGGGAAAGUUGAAAAGUACUUUGAAGAGAGAGUAAACAGUACGUGAAACCGCAUAGAGGUAAACGGGUGGCGUCAAGCUGCAAGCCCAGAGAAUUCAGUCGGUCAGGGUGUUGUCAUGCGCCCAGCGCAUCUAUCAGUCGGUGUAGGAUUUGGCUAGUCCGCUUGAAGAUGGCGGGCCCAGCUAGCAAUAGCUGGGAUUUGCGUACCGGGCGGUAGCCGGAGCAUGCUAGCCGUCUGUAGGACUGCCUGGCCGAUGCACUUUCUCUGUUGGUGAACACCACGACCGGUGGUACUGCCAGUCUGCUGUAGCCAGCUUCGUUGCAUACUCUGGCCUUUUGGUUGGGGCGUGUGGCGAUCACAGACAAUUUCAGUGCACGGUGCUUGUGUGUUUUUCGCAUGCGGGCAUGUUAUCGGGAACUGGUUGUAAACGGGUCGGCCUGUCGACUUGUCUGUAGUCGUGGUUGAUGGGUGACCCGGUGGGCUAUGGUGGUAUGAAUAACUGUGCAGGGCACCGGAGUUUUCGGUCCGACCAGCAGUAGUCGUUCGCGGCUGCUGUUGCCGGCUGCAUACGCACUGCAGUUUAGCGUGUGCACUGUCUUUGGCAGUAGUACGGGCGGCGCUGUUUACGGCCUGCCAGUCGUUGGGUCUGAUUGUCGUGUCGCCUGCCAAAAUGGUGGGUCCGGCGGUGGCCUGGCGUUGGAUGGUGCCUGUAGACGGAGCUGUCGUUGUGCAGCCGGUAUUUGUGUGCGCGACCUUAUAGUCUGUGGUGUAGUGGUAGACGAGCUACCCGACCCGUCUUGAAACACGGACCAAGGAGUUUAACAUGCGCGCGAGUCAUUGGGUCCUACGAAACCCAGAGGCGCAGUGAAAGUAAAGCUUCGACAUAUAUUGUUCUCGGGGUGUGGUGAGAUCCUGCUGUUUCUCGCAUACAUUUGUCCAGCACUGGGCUAACUAAACGAGCAGUGGGCGCAUCACCGGCCCGUCCCAUGAUGUGGCUAUCUGUCAGUGGCAGUUGUCGCCUUACGGUGGUGGUUGCUUUCUGCGGGUACGUCAUCGGGGCGGAGCAUGAGCGCGCAUGUUGAGACCCGAAAGAUGGUGAACUAUGCUUGCGUAGGUUGAAGCCAGAGGAAACUCUGGUGGAGGACCGCAGCGAUUCUGACGUGCAAAUCGAUCGUCAAACGUGAGUAUAGGGGCGAAAGACUAAUCGAACCAUCUAGUAGCUGGUUCCCUCCGAAGUUU